rnacentral:lncRNA from 1 species
GUUUUCUUAACCAGAGAGCUUCCUGGCCCACACAAGAAAGGAAAAAUUAAUGAUCCAUCAGCUGUUUCUGAACUUCAGGAUAGUUGGAGGCCCAGCUUCAGGGAUCACGUCUUCUGUGAGGUCACAAAGGAAAUUACGCCUUCAAGAAUGCACUGUUCAAGCCAUAUCCUUGACUCCGAUGAAUCAAUCAGGAAAGGGCUAUUGUUAUAAAUAAGCAAAUGAGACUGGUCAUCAAGCAACUGGUCCUCAAGGCACUGAACUAAGUGACACAAAGAAAAAAAAAAUGCUUCAACGUGAAAGAAAU